CGAAGCGCCGAACGCGCGAGGCGACGGGCGUUCUCGCCGGAUGUAGGAACCCGACCCGGGGGACCGCCGGGGCAACCCGGCGCCCCCGAGACGGGGCGAACCACGGUGAAAUGACGGAUCGUCGGCCCCGCGCCGGCGACUCGCCGAAUGAGUUUCUGACCUAUCAACUCGAGACGGCGGGGUAGAGGCCCGCCGCGGUAACGACGGGUAACGGGGAAUCAGGGUUCGAUUCCGGAGAGGGGAGCCCCGAGAAAACGGCUACCACUUCCAAGGAAGGCAGCAGGCGCGCAACUUACCCUAAUCUCGAUUCGAGGAGGUAGUGACAAGAAAUACCGAUGCGGGACCCUACGGGUGCCGCGUUCGGAAUGAGUACGAUUCGAACCACCUAACGAGGAACGAUCGGAGGGCAAGUCUGGUGCCAGCAGCCGCGGU
rnacentral:rRNA from 1 species